rnacentral:rRNA from 1 species
AUUGAACGCUGGCGGCAUGCCUUACACAUGCAAGUCGAACGGUAACGCGGGGCAACCUGGCGACGAGUGGCGAACGGGUGAGUAAUGCAUCGGAACGUGCCCAGUUGUGGGGGAUAACUGCUCGAAAGAGCAGCUAAUACCGCAUACGACCUGAGGGUGAAAGCGGGGGAUCGCAAGACCUCGCGCAAUUGGAGCGGCCGAUGUCGGAUUAGCUAGUUGGUGGGGUAAAGGCCCACCAAGGCGACGAUCCGUAGCUGGUCUGAGAGGACGACCGGCCACACUGGGACUGAGACACGGCCCAGACUCCUACGGGAGGCAGCAGUGGGGAAUUUUGGACAAUGGACGCAAGUCUGAUCCAGCCAUGCCGCGUGCGGGAAGAAGGCCUUCGGGUUGUAAACCGCUUCUGUCAGGGAAGAAAUCUUCUGGGUUAAUACCUCGGGAGGAUGACGGUACCUGAAGAAUAAGCACCGGCUAACUACGUGCCAGCAGCCGCAGUAAUAC